ACAUAAAUAGUAUCAUUUAUGUCGGUGACUUACAAUUCUAAUGCCAUACUCAUAAUUUGUGAGAAAGCAAUCUGGUAACACUUUGUUUUACAGUCCUGUUUCUCGUGUACAUACUAUGCAGUACUUUAGUAAUUGCCAUAAUUAGGUAAUAACUAGGUACUAACCGAAACCUACCCCUACCCAAUGUAGUUACCUUGUAUCACCGGUGCUUUCUUAGGUAAGUACACUGUAAGUACAGUAAAAUAAAGUGCAGUCUACCUGCUCUUUUGUAAGCUGUUUUCUCCAUCUUGUCUUUUCCCAGAUCAGAUACUGAGCCUGAUGUUGUGAUGGAAGGAAGCAGUUUGGCAGCUGGAGACUUUUCAGACAAUCUGAAACGGAGCAACCAAGAGCUGGAGGAAGAAUGUGUGAAGUUACGGAGGUUGUGGAUAAAAUGGCAAACAUACUGUCAAAGAUGGAGAAGAUGGUCCAUGCCGAGAGUGGAAUCUGUGAACUGGAAGCGUUUCAGUACGGAGAGAAAGGAAGAGCAGCACCACUCUUUCACACAUGGUCCACUCAACAGUUUGACUCAAUUUAUCAGAUUUCCCAUAUUGCUCACGAUUGCACAGAGUGAAAGAACUUAUGGACAGAAACGGCGUGAGCAUUGAGGAGGUCAUAUCUGAACUGGGGAAUGGCAUCGCUGCCUUACAGUCUGAUGAUUUAGCGAGACGUAUGUAUGAUCUUUCCUGCCUUGAAGAGGACAGGGGGACAUCGAGCUAUGAGAACAAUCAACCGCACACACACGCCAGUCAUCAGCACACUGCAAACACUGACUGACCCACUACAUGGCCAUAUGCAACAUGCAGCCACACAUGAGUCAAACUUUACCCGGCACACAGUGUCAAAUGCACUCGCUAAUAUACCAUCAUCUGUGUUUAUAAAAAUGUGAAACUUCUUGUGCAAAAUGUUUAUAA